rnacentral:lncRNA from 1 species
GUGUACAAGCAUAGGUAUGGCAUAGAUAAAAGAUCACGACAAAACGGACAGAAGUUGGAGCCCCAUUGGAGGCUUCGGCUGUUUUCUGCUCUUUGGUCGGGGUGUUUUCUCUUUGGCAUAUUCCCUAUUUCCCUCAAUUUUUAGUAGAAAAUAGCAAAGAUAUGAAACAAAUGUGAUGUUAAUCCUAUCAGAAGUGUAAAUAAAAAGUCACUUGUAUUCUAAUUCAAG